GCGUUUAAACGUGUAUACUUUGGUAUAUUUUCGUGAUUGUUUUUUUUUUUUUUAAGGUUGUUCUUUUUUUUCUCUGCGUUUUCCCGGGAUUCGUCGUGCAGAAGAAUAUCGCCGUUCGCCGAAAAAAUUGUCGCGGCCUUAUAGAAGAGAUACGACUUGGUCGCGAUUUUGCAUAUGUCUCCGCCCGAACGCGCCAGUUCUCGGUAACGGUUUUCGUCGUCGCGGUACCGCCCGACAGCAGACAAACUGUAUUGAUAUCAUAACAUUAUAAUAUUAUCGUACACGUCUUGUAUCAUACGGAUGACGCCAUUUCGCUCGUCGCCGCCGUUGUUAUUGGCGUUGUUGUGUUGGACGUCUGCCGCAGCAGCCGCUUCCGGCGCCCGUCACGUGCACACACCCGAGUCUUGCACCGAGCAGACGGUCCGCAUGCGGCCGGACAACUAUAUGCGGUGUCUGCUGCACUUCGGCCGGUGCGUGGACUGCGCGGGCCCGUACGACUACAGUUACUACGACGCGCUGCGCCGGAACGUGGCCGGAUCUUGCCGGGAGUUCGUGGACCGACCGGACGUGCUGCCCGCCGCCCGUCGGCUGGUGUACGACACGUGCAACCUGUACCUGCAGCGCAUCGGCCGGACGGUGUACCGUCACGAGAUGGGCAGGGAUGCGGAACAGACACCGGUGGCCGUGUCGGCGGCUACUUCCGCGGACGGUUUGCUGCAGGCGGCGCACCGUUUUCUCGUCGCCACGUUUAUGGCCCGUUCUGCGCUACGCGUUUCGCGACCCGCGGACUGACGGACGAGCGGCGAUUGCGCCCUUACACGCGGUCCACAAAUAGCAUAGUGGAACCUAGGUAAGUCAAAAUUCAAGGGAAUUACAAUUUUUUCGACUUAUCAAGAUUUUAUGAAAAAAAAUUUGAUUUACAGAGUUAUAAAAUUCGUAUUUAAAAUGUUAAACUAUUCGAAUUUUUAAUGUCCGAGAUGGAUUCGAAGUAUUCAAGUAUUCAAUAAAUAUAAAAUAUAGAUGAUAACGAAAACAGACUAUGGAGUUAUUUACUGCUGUUCAAUUCGUUGGAUGGCACGAAUAUUUAUUGCUAUUUAAUUUAUAUAGGUAUUCAAAAAAUACACGACGAUUUUGGUGAUAAUUUAAAAUCGAUAUUAGAGAUAACAGGAAAGAAGAUUGAACUACGUUUGAAAAUAUACUAUGAGCUGUAUCCAAUCCACCACUGAAGGAUUUCCCAUUGUGGUCGAAUCACAAAGUGAUGUCACCAACGCUGAUUUGCACGUGAAUUGAGUCGUAGUACGGGAAAAACCAAGAUAAACAUAAAAACAUUAUGCCGAAGAAUCGACUGAAUACAUUAUUUUAUAAUAUUAUGACCGUUUUCUAUACAAUUUAUAAAAACCGAAAGCUGCAGUUAUAUAUAUAUAUACGUUAUAUGAAUGUAUACCGCGGUGUUUAAUGGUCAACUGUCUCUGGGAAUAUCGUUUUUGAGUCUGCAUAAACGAUAUGUAUACAUGAUUAUGCAAAAGUCCCGAAUAAUUUUUAGACACGAUAAUAUUUCUCGCCGAAAUCGAUGUUUGAAUUUGAUCGAUAAUUUAUUACUAAACAAAUAAGAUUUUAAAGCGAGUUGGUUUUUAUUUUAGAUAAUUGCCUUCAGUACGUGGAAGUUUUCUAUCGUUGAUAAUACUGAAUAUAGAGGAUAAAGGUACCGUGCCAGAAAGUAUGGACUUUGUGGCGCAAGAAUAUCAAAUGCAAAGUAUGUAAGACGCACACACAAUUUGGGCACUACGCGUCGACGCGGUUGUGGGCGUUCUACAUUCAGUAUGUGUACAUCGUUGAAGUUUUAAUUAAAUAGCAUCGAUUUUACAUAAUUUUACAGACUCACAAAUAUACGUCGAUUGUGGCAUACACUAUAAUUACUAUCCUAAGUUGGUCGCCUUGUAAUUAAGACGCUAUUCUAAAAUAUUAUCGAGAAAAAUAGAAUAAUAAAAGGAUGAAAAAGAAAAACGAGAGAUAUAUACACUACCACUUAACCUUCUUUUUCUAUGGCUCAUUAAAAAGGUAAACUUUUUAAAU